UACAGAGGUCCCGAGCGUUGUUCGGAUUCACUGGGCGUAAAGGGUGCGUAGGUGGUGGGGUAAGUCGGGUGUGAAAUCUCGGAGCUCAACUCCGAAAUGGCAUUGGAAACUACCCUGCUGGAGGUUUGGAGGGGGGACUGGAAUACCUGGUGUAGCAGUGAAAUGCGUAGAUAUCAAGUGGAACACCAGUGGCGAAGGCGAGUCCCUGGACAAAACCUGACACUGAGGCACGAAAGCUAGGGGAGCAAACAGG
rnacentral:rRNA from 1 species